rnacentral:tRNA from 1 species
GCAGGGGUUGCCGAGCCUGGUCAAAGGCGCAGGCUUCAGGAGCCUGUCCCGUAGGGGUUCGUGGGUUCAAAUCCCACCCCCUGCACCA